rnacentral:rRNA from 1 species
GACGAAGGGGGCUAGCGUUGUUCGGAAUUACUGGGCGUAAAGCGCGUGUAGGCGGUUGCCCAAGUCGGGUGUGAAAGCCUUGAGCUCAACUCAAGAAAUGCACUCGGUACUGGGGUGACUAGAGGACCCGGAGAGGAUAGUGGAAUUCCCAGUGUAGUGGUGAAAAUACGUAGAGAUUGGGAAGAACACCAGUGGCGAAGGCGGC